rnacentral:rRNA from 1 species
CCUACGGGGGGCAGCAGUAGGGAAUAUUGCUCAAUGGGGGAAACCCUGAAGCAGCAACGCCGCGUGGAGGAUGAAGGCUUUCGGAUUGUAAACUCCUUUUGUUAGAGAAGAUAAUGACGGUAUCUAACGAAUAAGCACCGGCUAACUCCGUGCCAGCAGCCGCGGUAAUACGGAGGGUCCAAGCGUUACGCGGAAUCACUGGGCUUAAAGAGCGGGUAGGCGGGAUAGCAAGUCAGAUGUGAAAGCCUAUGGCUAAACCAUAGAACUGCAUUUGAAACUGUUAUUCUAGAGUAUGGGAGAGGUAGGUGGAAUGUUUGGUGUAGGGGUAAAAUCCGUAGAGAUCAAGAGGAAUACUCAUUGCGAAGGCAGCCUGCUAGAACGUAACUGACGCUGAUGCGCGAAAGCGUGGGGAGCAAACAGGAUUAGAUACCCCUGUAGUC